ACACCUCAACUCCCGUGGUUCGCCAGGGUGAGCUUGGACUCUCUGGGGGUUUUGCUGGCUUUACAGCCGGCUCCUCUCAAAUGGAUCAGCUUGCCAGUGUUUUGGUGGGAUCCCAGGUGUGAUAACUAUCUACGCUUGUGGCUUCCUGUCGAGCAACCUUCAGCGAUGAGGGUUCGCUGGGGCUCAUAAACGUCUCUCUUGUGGAGACAGGUUUUUGAA
rnacentral:misc_RNA from 1 species